ACCCCGCGGGAGUUGGACCGGUGGCGCUGGUAAGGCCUCCCGGGCUCAAAGUGCAACGGACACUGCAGAAAUCCAAACUGCUGGCAUUCGCGGUUUGGGGACGCCAGAGGAGGUAAUGAUUUCUGGUUUGUUAACCUCAAGUGACAAUAAUGCCGAGCCAGGCAGGAGCUGGACCUACAAUCUUCUGAUGCGUGGUCAGACACGUUAUCCCUUGCGCCACUGGCCUACCACGCUACUCCUUCAGUCGCCGUUGGAUUACUGUGUGUUGAGAACACACUCGGCAACCACUUUAAAGGACAACGCAGGCUGGUAAAGGAAAAGGACUCAUCUGAGGCUAAGCUGCCCAUAGUUCGGGGAGACCCACAGGGAAAACAAAACAAGAAACAGAGAACUUGGAAACGGACGCUGAUUACUUUGAACGUUUGCUCAACCGAGGAAGCAGGAACUGUUCGGCCCCAUCUCAAGUCCGCAGGGCGGACUGCCUGGCUCUGGGCAGAUCCGAGGUGGAUAGGACAAGGCAAAAGGUAGCCCUGGAGAGGUGAGUGGAUAAAGUCCCUGGACACAGGGGCUGCCGUUGGAGGAGGUUGUAAUGUCAUUGUCCUCCUGUGGAAGUUAACUGUGGAGAAUUAACUAGAGACCAGCGCUGAGAGAGAAUUAAUUGGAUAAAAGUUCUAUCUAGGACAGUCCUUGAGCGUAAUUUUGUGAAGCAAACACAAGACAACAACAAAACGAGUAAAACCUAAACACACAUCCACACACUCACUGAAAGAUUCAGAGAUUGCACAGAACACAAAGACUUUUCUGGUAAUAAAAUCUCCCUAUCCUAAUUUUCUAGAAAAAAAGCUGUUGAAGCCACCGCGCAGUUCUUACAAGACAUAACACAAAUCUUCCACACAAAGGCAGAAAUACAGUAUCAACCUUUGUGAGGAGUACAGCAAAUAAAUGAUGUUUCUUUAGGGUCCUAGGCAACCUGUAUGCUUUUGUUACCAGUGUAUACAACAUGGUAUGGUUUAUUGCUAUCUUUCAUUUUCUAGGGUGGUCUCCAUUUUUACCUCGUUUUAUUAUUUUCAAUAGUCUUUUAGUUGAAUGUAUUGUAAAUUACUUGAAAUAUAACAUCAGGAUGUUCAUAAAAACAAAUUCACAAAGUAAGAAAAAGAA
rnacentral:lncRNA from 1 species